rnacentral:lncRNA from 1 species
CCAUAAUAUUGCUUUCUCCAGUGAAAUAGUCAUUUUUUUCUGAAUCAGGAGAGAAAUAAGCACUGUUUACAAGCAAAAACAGUUUUAAAGAAAUAUGUGAGGAGACAAUAGCGGAUGGACUUUUUCACUGAUGGACUGGAGUGGUGUGGAUUACUUCUGGAUUAUUGAGAUGUUUUUAUCAGCUGUUUGGACUCUCAUUCUGACGGCACCCAUUCACUGCAGAGGAUCCACUGUGGUGAGCAAGCGAUGCAAAGCUCUAUUUCUCUAAAUCUGUUUUACAUUCUGGAUGGCCAUGUAGUGAGCGUGAGUACAUUUUCAUCAAAUUUUCAUUUUUGGGUGAACUAUCCCAUUAAUAGAGCUGCACUAGAAAUGAUGUUAACUUGUUGUUAUUCCAUUAUAGUGACAUCAAAUGGAAUUUCACUAAGUUCCUCAUCGACCGUGAAGGCCAGGUUGUGAAGAGAUACUCCCCAGUGCGAUUAUUGAGAUGUUUUUAUCAGCUGUUUGGACUCUCAUUCUGACGGCACCCAUUCACUGCAGAGGAUCCACUGUGGUGAGCAAGCGAUGCAAAGCUCUAUUUCUCUAAAUCUGUUUUACAUUCUGGAUGGCCAUGUAGUGAGCGUGAGUACAUUUUCAUCAAAUUUUCAUUUUUGGGUGAACUAUCCCAUUAAUAGAGCUGCACUAGAAAUGAUGUUAACUUGUUGUUAUUCCAUUAUAGUGACAUCAAAUGGAAUUUCACUAAGGUUUGUGCAUUUUCCCUUUGAAUUAUGCUAAUUAAAAGCAUGUUACGAAUGAAACCUUGAAUGUUAAAUAGGAACACUUAUUUACUAAUUAUUAAAAUGAUUAAAUUUGUUUAAUUUGCUAUAAAUGUUUGUGUUUUCUUAUCAGUUCCUCAUCGACCGUGAAGGCCAGGUUGUGAAGAGAUACUCCCCAGUGCAGGAACCAAGCAUACAUUGCUCAGCUUCUAUUAAUGUUUGAUUGUAUUUCAAUCUGGUUCGAGUCAUAAACUAAGGCAUGUUUAAGAUAAGCUACAGUAUCUAAAUAUCACAGUGAUAUUGUGCAAUCCCUCCUGAGAGCAUCAUCAGUGUCCAGCAUCACUCUGGAGAGAGACCCCCGUUUCUUCAGCUGCCACUAUGCUUUGAAAUGAAAUUAUGCACAUUUAUUUAGAACUAAACAUGUUGUCAUAGAGUAACAUUUCUUAAUAAAUGCAAAGAGAUUGAUUUUUAACAUGUGUUGGUGUUUUGUUGAUAUCAGUGAGCAAGUGUUUGAGGGUUGGAAAACUAUAAAGUCAGCUUUGAUAUAAUAAUAUUAAGAAUUCUCAUGAUAAUAUUUUUUUAAUCAUUUUAUUAUGUUAUAUAAUUUAACAUAUUUUUAUUACAUCGUGUAUAAUAUGAGCGUUAAGCCUUUUUUCCUACGUGUAUUAAUGAAGAUUCACCAACAGAGAGCAGCAGCAGCAGCCUCAUCCAAACACUCAGCAGCUCCCUUUUGGAAGUUCGUUUCAUCCUGACGAAUCGAUUCAUUCGUUCCGGUUCAAUGAACCGGUUCAAACGGUCAAUUGUUUUGAUAGUCCCCGUAUUCGUUUUCCUAAUGACAGAAAAAGCUCGCUGUUUAUCACUGAUUUAAUUUAAUUAGAUGCUGUGUCAAAGCUGUGUUGUUUGUUCAAUGCAAAAAUACAGCUUUCGCCUAAAUACCACAUUUGUUGCAGUUACGCUAAAACUCAUAUAAAUCCAUCCUGAAGAUAGUGUAAGACGCUUUCAGAAUAUCUCUCUUAAUUUCCUUCUUAAUUAAUUCCUAGUAGCGAGUUACAACCUCUUCUGACUAACAAACAGCAAAAUGAUUUGCGAGUCUCCUAGCGAAUCAGUUCGAUUCAAUCUGUUCAAACGAACGAUUCAUCCGCGAAUCGAACAUCACUAUCCUGUGCAUGACAGCUCAGAGAGAGGAGAGGAGGACCACGACGCGAAGGGAUAGUCCUCAAUCUCUCACCUUGUUUUUGGCAGCUAUUCACACCCAUACAAACUGAGAGGACAGCGGUGUAUGUUUUGAAUUAUUCGCGAUCACCAGUUGACAGCGCUCUCGGUCGGAG